rnacentral:rRNA from 1 species
UACGUAGGCAGCGAGCGUUGUUCGGAGUUACUGGGCGUAAAGGGUGUGUAGGCGGUUGUUUAAGUUUGGUGUGAAAUCUCCCGGCUCAACUGGGAGGGUGCGCCGAAUACUGAAUGACUUGGAGUGCGGGAGAGGAGAGUGGAAUUCCUGGUGUAGCGGUGAAAUGCGUAGAUAUCAGGAAGAACACCAAUGGCGAAAGCAGCUCUCUGGGACGGUACUGACGCUGAGACGCGAAAGCGUGGGGAGCGAACAGG